rnacentral:rRNA from 1 species
CGGACGGGUGAGUAAUGCGUAGGAAGCUGCCCGAUAGAGGGGGAUACCAGUUGGAAACGACUGUUAAUACCGCAUAAUGUCUACGGACCAAAGUGUGGGACCUUCGGGCCACAUGCUAUCGGAUGCGCCUACGUGGGAUUAGCUAGUUGGUGAGGUAAUGGCUCACCAAGGCGACGAUCUCUAGCUGGUUUGAGAGGAUGAUCAGCCACACUGGAACUGAGACACGGUCCAGACUCCUACGGGAGGCAGCAGUGGGGAAUAUUGGACAAUGGGCGCAAGCCUGAUCCAGCCAUGCCGCGUGUGUGAAGAAGGCCUUCGGGUUGUAAAGCACUUUCAGCGAGGAGGAAGGGUGGUGUGUUAAUAGCACAUCAUUUUGACGUUACUCGCAGAAGAAGCACCGGCUAACUCUGUGCCAGCAGCCGCGGUAAUACAGAGGGUGCAAGCGUUAAUCGGAAUUACUGGGCGUAAAGCGCACGUAGGCGGUUUUUUAAGUCAGAUGUGAAAGCCCCGGGCUCAACCUGGGAAUUGCAUUUGAAACUGGGGAACUAGAGUGUGUGAGAGGGGGGGUAGAAUUCCAAGUGUAGCGGUGAAAUGCGUAGAGAUUUGGAGGAAUACCAGUGGCGAAGGCGGCCCCCUGGCACAACACUGACGCUCAGGUGCGAAAGCGUGGGGAGCAAACAGGAUUAGAUACCCUGGUAGUCCACGCCGUAAACGAUGUCUACUAGCUGUUCGUGUCCUUGUGAUGUGAGUAGCGCAGCUAACGCACUAAGUAGACCGCCUGGGGAGUACGGUCGCAAGAUUAAAACUCAAAUGAAUUGACGGGGGCCCGCACAAGCGGUGGAGCAUGUGGUUUAAUUCGACG